GAUGAAGAACGCAGCGAAAUGCGAUAAGUAAUGUGAAUUGCAGAAUUCAGUGAAUCAUCGAAUCUUUGAACGCACAUUGCGCCCCCUGGUAUUCCGGGGGGCAUGCCUGUCCGAGCGUCAUUUCUGCCCUCAAGCACGGCUUGUGUGUUGGGUGUGGUCCCCCCGGGGACCUGCCCGAAAGGCAGCGGCGACGUCCGUCUGGUCCUCGAGCGUAUGGGGCUCUGUCACUCGCUCGGGAAGGACCUGCGGGGGUUGGUCACCACCAUGUUUUACCACGGUUGACCUCGGAUCAGGUAGGAGUUACCCGCUGAACUUAAGCAUAUCAAUAAGCGGAGGA
rnacentral:misc_RNA from 1 species